rnacentral:rRNA from 1 species
UGCGGCCAAAGAUGGCCUCUACUUGUACGCUAUCGCUGAGGGGAUGGGCCUGCGGGCCAUUAGCUUGUUGGUGAGGUAACGGCUCACCAAGGCUGUGAUGGCUAGCUGGUCUGAGAGGAUGACCAGCCACACUGGGACUGAGACACGGCCCAGACUCCUACGGGAGGCAGCAGUGGGGAAUAUUGCGCAAUGGGCGAAAGCCUGACGCAGCGACGCCGCGUGGGUGAUGAAGGCCUUCGGGGUCGUAAAGCCCUGUCGCAGGGGAAGAAUAAGCAUCGGCAUAAUACGCCGGUGCCCUGACGGUACCCUGCAAGAAAGCACCGGCUAACUCCGUG